rnacentral:lncRNA from 1 species
CUGGACUUGGUGAAGCAGGACCGGAGCUUCUCCUCGGCUCUGCUAUGAAGUAGCUGACUGUGGUUCGGGGGAGGGAUACUCUGGGCUAUGCUUCCUAGGUCCACAGCCUGAGGGCUGACAUAAGAUGACCUCUGAGGUUCUGCACAACCCUGAGACUUAGAGCUUUUCUGACUUGUUUUUCAAGCAUGAAGGCUGCUACAGACAUUCUUCCCUUUUUCUCUGUGACUGGAACACAGACUAUCAUCCUAUUCAAGAAACGAGAGGAAACCCUCUAUUAGCUCAUCUGAACUCCUUUGCAAGCCUUUGAAGAGGUAACUCUGGGGCCCAGGAAAAUCCUACAUGUGACUACUGUAAAGAAGACAAUAAAGUGCAACCUGCCCUCCAGAAGUCCAAAUCAUGCUCUUGGGUGUGUCUUACUCAUUCCAAGCAUCUUUCUAUUAACCUGUCUAUUUAAAUCUGUGUUUAAACUCUCCUUUUAAUAAUAAACUCCAACUCUUCUCAUCCA